UCAUAACUGUAAUUUUUGCUACUGUUAAGAAUCACUGGGCCUCUCAUAGUGUCCCAUGAUAGAACAAACUGUGGCUCCUAACCAUUGCCCGGCCUCCGUGCCUGUAGGCUGCUGAUACUGAAAUGGGUCACACAGUG